UAUAUAUAUAUAUAUAUAUAUAUACAAACGAAAUGCCCCUGCAGGGGAUAAAAAUAAAUAAAUGUAAAAAUAUUUUAAAGAUUUAAAUAUUAUAUAGAAUAUAUAAUGCCUCCGUUAAUUUUUUUUAUGCAUAAAUAAUUAUUAAAAUAAUAUCAAAAUAUAAUAAAGAAAUUAAAUAAAGCAUAUAAAAUAUCUAUAUUUAUUUUAUAUUAUUAAAAUAUUAAAAAUUUAAAUAUCUCGUACCAUAUUGGGACUGGGCGAUAAUAUCGCAGCCUGGAUGAUGGGAAUCAAUACUCAUUUCCUGCGGCACCUGGUGGCUCCUCAAGCUCUACCUCUAAUCUCCGGUCGUCGUACUCCUUGCCCUGACCCGCGACAUGGUUGUCAAGAAUGGCCACCCCCACGUCCACCACUCCGGCUUCCUUCUCAUCUCCUACCUGAUCCUAGAUCUUUCCCUCCUCCAACCUUUUUGACCUCGUCUGCUUGCUCUCCCACCUCUUCGGCCUUGGUCCCUCCCUCAA
rnacentral:lncRNA from 1 species